rnacentral:rRNA from 1 species
CAUCACUACGCUAGAUGCAUAUCAAUAAGCGGAGGAAAAGAAACUAACAAGGAUUCCCCUAGUAACGGCGAGUGAAGCGGGAAGAGCUCAAAUUUGAAAUCUUAAAGGGUUUCCCUUUACGAAUUGUAGUUUAAAGAAGUGUUUUCUGUUGGAGUUUCGGUAAAAGUUCUUUGGAAUAGGACAUCAUAGAGGGUGAGAAUCCCGUAUUUGACCGUUACUUUCCAGCUGUGUGAUACACUUUCAAAGAGUCGGAUUGUUUGGGAAUGCAGUCCAAAAUGGGUGGUAAAUUUCAUCUAAAGCUAAAUAUUGGCGAGAGACCGAUAGCGAACAAGUACCGUGAGGGAAAGAUGAAAAGAACUUUGAAAAGAGAGUUAAACAGUACAUGAAAUUGUCAAAAGGGAAGCGUUUGACACCAGUGUUGUUUAGUUGAAAAUCAAUUCAAUAAUUUUUGAUUUUGAGUAGUAUUGACUUCAUCAGCUUGCUGCUUUCUUUUCGGAAAUUAUUGAAUGCACUUUUCAGUUAACAAGUCAACAUCAAUUUCUUUUGUUGUAAAAGGGUAAGAGGAAGGUGGCUUACGCUUCGGCGUAAGUGUUUAUAGCCUUUUACCUCUGCAAUCGGAGAGAUUGAGGACAGCAGCGUAGACUCUUCGGGGUUAGAUACACUUGUGCUAAGCUAUAGCCUUGUAUAGACAACUUGUUGACUAUGCUCAGUCAUGUAGCUUACUCGCUUGUGCUAUUUUACCUACGCUUAGGAUGUUGACGAGACUGUCGAUCUC